AUUGAACGCUGGCGGCAGGCCUAACACAUGCCAGUCGAGCGAGCGGCGGACGGGUGAGUAAUGUAUGGGGACUGCCCGAUAGAGGGGGAUAACUACUGGAAACGGUGGCUAAUACCGCAUACUGUAGGAUAACCCAUAUGGUGUUAGCUAGUAGGUAAGGUAAUGGCUUACCUAGGCGACGAUCCCUAGCUGGUCUGAGAGGAUGAUCAGCCACACUGGGACUGGGACACGGCCCAGACUCCUACGGAGGCAGCAGUGGGGAAUAUUGCACAAUGGGCGAAAGCCUGAUGCAGCCAUGCCGCGUGUAUGAAGAAGGCCCUAGGGUUGUAAAGUACUUUCAGUCGGGAGGCGUUACCGACAGAAGAAGCACCGGCUAACUCCGUGCCAGCAGCCGCGGUAAUUC
rnacentral:rRNA from 1 species